UCCAGGCGCCGUGGCACAAGCCUGUAGUCCCAGUUACACAGGAGGCCAAGGCAGGAGCCUGGCUUGAGCCCAGGAGUUCUGAGCUGGGCAUAUGCCAACUGGUGUCCGCACUAAGUUUGGCAUCAAUGUGGUGACCUCUCAGGAGCAGGGGACUACUAGGUCACCAAGAAGAGGUGAACAGACCCAGGUAGGAAAUGGAGCAGGUCAAAACUACUGUGUUGAUCAGUAGCAGGACUAGGCCUGUGAAUGGCCCCUGUACUCUGUUCUGGACAACAUAGCUAGACUCUGUCU
ensembl:misc_RNA Metazoa_SRP Metazoan signal recognition particle RNA